GCAAACUUUACAUUGAAUUUAGCAACGGAAAAUCCGUUGCUAAUUAAAAAAAUAAUUAUUUAAAUUUUAAUAUAAACCCAUUGCCUCGUUUCAUGUGUUGUUUUCUUUGUUAUUUACUCCACCUUUGUUGAGCAGCUCUAUCAUUCGAGAGAGAGAGAGAAAGAGAGAGAGAGAGAGAAAGAGAGAGCAUCAAGCUAUUUUACCAUAACAGGAAGGAGGGUAGGUCUGUAGAAGAUGUAUGGAGAUGGAAAGGAGGCAUCUUAGCAUCUGGGUUUGCUGAUCAGAGAAGGUAAGAAUAAUUAACAAGGAGAAGGGUUCGCUCUCAUUUUCUGUGCUCUCUUUGUCCUUGUUACUUCCCAUCCCAUAAUUUAUUUCCUUUCAAGCUGCUCCUUCCUUUUCCUUUUCAGAUGAGGAAUGGAUGAGAUGCACAAAAUUGCAAAAACCUAUGUACGUUAUGUUGGAUUUCAAAGCUGCUCCUUCCUUUUCCUUUUCAAAGCUGCUCCUGUCACAAGAACAAAACCAACCUUGCCUCUCCUGUCAACAUC
rnacentral:lncRNA from 1 species